rnacentral:rRNA from 1 species
GACGAACGCUGGCGGCGUGCCUAAUACAUGCAAGUCGAACGCAGUGGGGACGGGUGAGUAACACGUGGGUAACCUCCCAUCAGAGGGGAUAACACUUGGAAACAGGUGCUAACCCGAUACUGAUGGAUGGACCCGCGGUGCAUUAGCUAGUUGGGGGGGUAACGGCUCACCAAGGCCACGAUCCCUCGCUGGGCUGAGAGGAUGACCGGCCACCGUGGAACGGAGAGACGGUCAAGACUCCGACGGGAGGCAGCAGUGGGGAAUAGUGGACAAUGGGCGCAAGCCUGAUGCAGCCAUGCCGCGUGUAUGAAGAAGGCCUUCGGGUUGUAAAGUACUUUCAGCGGGGAGGCGUUACCCGCAGAAGAAGCACCGGCUAACUCCGUGCCAGCAGCCGCGGUAAUUC